rnacentral:rRNA from 1 species
AUUGAACGCUGGCGGCAUGCCUAACACAUGCAAGUCGAGCGCGUGGCGCACGGGAGUGUAAUGUAGGGGACUCUGCCUGAUGGCGGGGGAUAACUACUGGAAACGGUAGCUAAUACCGCAUAGCCUCCGCUGAUCCCAGGUGGGAUUAGCUAGUAGGUAAGGUAACGGCUUACCUAGGCGACGAUCCCUAGCUGGUCUGCGAGGAGGAUAAGCCACACUGGGACUGAGACACGGCCCAGACUCCUACGCGAGGCAGCAGUGGGGAAUAUUGCACAAUGGGCGCAAGCCUGAUGCAGCCAUGCCGCGUGUAUGAAGAAGGCCUUCGGGUUGUAAAGUACUUUCAGUCGGGAGGCGGUACCGACAGAAGAAGCACCGGCUAACUCCGUGCCAGCAGCCGCGGUAAUAC